rnacentral:rRNA from 1 species
UGAGCAACCUGCCCUUGACUCUGGAAUAACAGUUGGAAACAGCCGCUAAUACCAGAUAUUCAUCGUCUCCUUCCUGGGGGGUGGUGGAAAGCUCCGGCGGUCAGGGAUGGGCUCGCGGCCUAUCAGCUUGUUGGUGAGGUAAUGGCUCACCAAGGCUUCGGACGGGUAGCCGGCCUGAGGAGGGCGACCGGCCACACGUGGGACUGAGAUACCGGCCCAGACCUCCGUACGGGAGGNAGCG